GAAAGCAGCGGGCUGGGCAAGAGCGGAGCCGGUGAAGAAUGCCCCCAUCCCCCCCGCGCCGCAGUGACUUAAUUUCCUUGAAAAAUGCUGUGGAAUUUCCUCACUGCACCAACCUCCAAGGGUAUUCUCGCAGCAGCUUUUCAUCAUUGUUUCUCCACCUACAUCAGCUAACUCAAGAGAUAAAACCCAGCCGUUUCACUGCUUUGUGAAGAAAUGUGCUUUCCUCCCGCUUGGCUGUCACAGAUUCCACCACCAGGAGGCCCCCGUUCCAGUGCUUAUAGCUAGGCAAAGAAUACCCAAGGAGAGUGAAAAGAAUCGUACUAGAUUAAUCUGAAAUUAAUACUUAUCCUAUAAACUGAGAUUUUCAGAGUGCUGUGCAAGCAUCUGUUAAUUAAUUAUUGCAAGUAUCUUAAUAUCUAACUAUCACAGAUGCCAUGACUUUUGGAGAUAAUGGAGUGUCUGUCAUAGGUGGUACUCUUCAUUGAAUAGCUGAU